GGCGCAAGCCUGAUGCAGCCAUGCCGCGUGUUUGAAGAAGGCCCUAGGGUUGUAAAGUACUUUCAGUCGGGAGGAAGGCGUUGAUGCUAUAUCAUCAGCGAUUGACGUUACCGACAGAAGAAGCACCGGCUAACUCCGUGCCAGCAGCCGCGGUAAUACGGAGAGGUGCAAGCGUUAAUCGGAAUUACUGGGGCGUAAAGCGCACGCAGGCGGUUGAUUAAGUUAGAUGUGAAAUCCCCGGGCUUAACCUGGGAAUGGCAUCUAAGACUGGUCAGCUAGAGUCUUGUAGAGGGGGGUAGAAUUCCAUGUGUAGCGGUGAAAUGCGUAGAGAUGUGGAGGAAUACCGGUGGCGAAGGCGGCCCCCUGGACAAAGACUGACGCUCAGGUGCGAAAGCGUGGGGAGCAAACAGGAUUAGAUACCCUGGUAGUCCACGCUGUAAACGAUGUCGAUUUGGAGGUUGUGCCCUUGAGGCGUGGCUUCCGGAGCUAACGCGUUAAAUCGACCGCCUGGGGAGUACGGCCGCAAGGUUAAAACUCAAAUGAAUUGACGGGGGCCCGCACAAGCGGUGGAGCAUGUGGUUUAAUUCGAUGCAACGCGAAGAACCUUACCUACUCUUGACAUCCAGAGAAUUUAGCAGAGAUGCUUUGUGCCUUCGGGAACUCUGAGACAGGUGCUGCAUGGCUGUCGUCAGCUCGUGUUGUGAAAUGUUGGGUUAAGUCCCGCAACGAGCGCAACCCUUAUCCUUUGUUGCCAGCGAUUCGGUCGGGAACUCAAAGGAGACUGCCGGUGAUAAACCGGAGGAAGGUGGGGAUGACGUCAAGUCAUCAUGGCCCUUACGAGUAGGGCUACACACGUGCUACAAUGGCGUAUACAAAGAGAAGCGACCUCGCGAGAGCAAGCGGAACUCAUAAAGUACGUCGUAGUCCGGAUUGGAGUCUGCAACUCGACUCCAUGAAGUCGGAAUCGCUAGUAAUCGUAGAUCAGAAUGCUACGGUGAAUACGUUCCCGGGCCUUGUACACACCGCCCGUCACACCAUGGGAGUGGGUUGCAAAAGAAGUAGGUAGCUUAACCUUCGGGAGGGCGCUUACCCACUUUGUGAUUCAUGACUGGGGUGAAGUUCGUAACAAGGUAACCGUAGGGGAACCUGCGUUGGAUCCGCUCCUUAAGG
rnacentral:rRNA from 1 species